AUUGAACGCUGGCGGCAGGCCUAACACAUGCAAGUCGAACGAGUGGCGGACGGGUGAGUAAUGUCUGGGAAACUGCCUGAUGGAGGGGGAUAACUACUGGAAACGGUAGCUAAUACCGCUUAACAUAGGAUGUGCCCAGAUGGGAUUAGCGAGUAGGUGGGGUAAAGGCUCACCUAGGAGACGAUCCCUAGCUGGUCUGAGAGGAUGACCAGCAACACGGGAACUGAGACACGGUCCAGACUCCUACGGGAGGCAGCAGUGGGGAAUAUUGGACAAUGGGCGCAAGCCUGAUGCAGCCAUGCCGCGUGUGUGAAGAAGGCCUUCGGGUUGUAAAGCACUUUCAGCGGGGAGGCGUUACCCGCAGAAGAAGCACCGGCUAACUCCGUGCCAGCAGCCGCGGUAAUUC
rnacentral:rRNA from 1 species